rnacentral:rRNA from 1 species
UUAUUAACUCUAAGCUUUUCUUCACGACUGAAAGUGCUUUACAACCCUAAGGCCUUCUUCGCACACGCGGCAUCGCUGGGUCAGGCUUUCGCCCAUUGCCCAAGAUUCCCUA